CCCUUAGAUGUUCUGGGCCGCACGCGCGCUACACUGACGAUGGCAACGAGUUUUUCCUUCGCCGAAAGGUGUGGGUAAUCUUUUGAAACAUCGUCGUGCUGGGGAUAGAUCAUUGCAAUUUUUGAUCUUGAACGAGGAAUUCCUAGUAAGCGCGAGUCAUCAGCUCGCGUUGAUUACGUCCCUGCCCUUUGUACACACCGCCCGUCGCUACUACCGAUUGGAUGGUCCGGUGAAGCCUCGGGAUUGUGGUUCUUGCCGCUUUAUUGUGGCGUGACCGCGAGAACUUGUCUAAACCUUAUCAUCUAGAGGAAGGUGAAGUCGUAACA
rnacentral:rRNA from 1 species